rnacentral:tRNA from 1 species
GAAUCAAAAAACCAAAAGGAAAAGCUUCUAACUUAGACUAAAGCGGUGAAACUCCGUUUUUGGUUCU